rnacentral:rRNA from 1 species
GGCAGCACGAUGUAGCAAUACAUUGGUGGCGACCGGCGCACGGGUGAGUAACGCGUAUGCAACCUACCUAUCAGAGGGGAAUAACCCGGCGAAAGUCGGACUAAUACCGCAUAAAACAGGGGUUCCACAUGGAAAUAUUUGUUAAAGAAUUAUCGCUGAUAGAUGGGCAUGCGUUCCAUUAGAUAGUUGGUGAGGUAACGGCUCACCAAGUCCACGAUGGAUAGGGGUUCUGAGAGGAAGGUCCCCCACACUGGUACUGAGACACGGACCAGACUCCUACGGGAGGCAGCAGUGAGGAAUAUUGGUCAAUGGGCGAGAGCCUGAACCAGCCAAGUCGCGUGAAGGAUGAAGGAUCUAUGGUUUGUAAACUUCUUUUAUAUGGGAAUAAAGUGAGGAACGUGUUCCUUUUUGUAUGUACCAUAUGAAUAAGCAUCGGCUAACUCCGUGCCAGCAGCCGCGGUAAUACGGAGGAUGCGAGCGUUAUCCGGAUUUAUUGGGUUUAAAGGGUGCGUAGGUGGUUAAUUAAGUCAGCGGUGAAAGUUUGUGGCUCAACCAUAAAAUUGCCGUUGAAACUGGUUGACUUGAGUAUAUUUGAGGUAGGCGGAAUGCGUGGUGUAGCGGUGAAAUGCAUAGGUAUCACGCAGAACUCCGAUUGCGAAGGCAGCUUACUAAACUAUAACUGACACUGAAGCACGAAAGCGUGGGGAUCAAACAGGAUUAGAUACCCUGGUAGUCCACGCAGUAAACGAUGAUUACUAGCUGUUUGCGAUACACAGUAAGCGGCACAGCGAAAGCGUUAAGUAAUCCACCUGGGGAGUACGCCGGCAACGGUGAAACUCAAAGGAAUUGAC